GGUUAUAGCUCAGUGGGUAGAGCAUGUGCUUUGCAUGCAGAAGGUGCCAGGUUCAAUCUCCAGUGGCAUCU